GGGGCAGCAUGGUCUUAGCUUGCUAAGGCUGAUGGCGACCGGCGCACGGGUGAGUAACACGUAUCCAACCUGCCGUCUACUCUUGGCCAGCCUUCUGAAAGGAAGAUUAAUCCAGGAUGGGAUCAUGAGUUCACAUGUCCGCAUGAUUAAAGGUAUUUUCCGGUAGACGAUGGGGAUGCGUUCCAUUAGAUAGUAGGCGGGGUAACGGCCCACCUAGUCAACGAUGGAUAGGGGUUCUGAGAGGAAGGUCCCCCACAUUGGAACUGAGACACGGUCCAAACUCCUACGGGAGGCAGCAGUGAGGAAUAUUGGUCAAUGGGCGAUGGCCUGAACCAGCCAAGUAGCGUGAAGGAUGACUGCCCUAUGGGUUGUAAACUUCUUUUAUAAAGGAAUAAAGUCGGGUAUGCAUACCCGUUUGCAUGUACUUUAUGAAUAAGGAUCGGCUAACUCCGUGCCAGCAGCCGCGGUAAUACGGAGGAUCCGAGCGUUAUCCGGAUUUAUUGGGUUUAAAGGGAGCGUAGGUGGACAUGUAAGUCAGUUGUGAAAGUUUGCGGCUCAACCGUAAAAUUGCAGUUGAUACUGCGUGUCUUGAGUACAGUAGAGGUGGGCGGAAUUCGUGGUGUAGCGGUGAAAUGCUUAGAUCUCACGAAGACUCCGAUUGCGAAGGCAGCUCACUGGACUGCAACUGACACUGAUGCUCGA
rnacentral:rRNA from 1 species